rnacentral:lncRNA from 1 species
UGUCGGGGACAAACUGCGGGCAAGCCACGACAUUCGAAACACUUACACGCCUACUUUGCAAUGCCGAUAGCGCCGAUCGUCGUAAGCCGUUUUUAGGGCCUUGAAAGCGAAGAGAGAAUGGAAAGCCGCACAGCAAAUAUUGGAGCCUCCUUUUAUGUCUUGUCCUCGCAUUCACGACAACUGUUCGAUGUAGGUGGUUGGAUCGUUCUGACAAGUAUAUGUCCACCCCGAGUCAGACCUAUAACAGGAGCCGGACACCGACUCGAGACUUACCGAGUAGGAAGGGCCUUAAACCUCACGAGGCGCGCUCUUGACGCGCCCGAUGAUAACUGCCAACAUCAACCCGACCGCAACGGUGCUACUACCAAUUCGGAAGUAGAGCACAAGGAGGACAAUAACCCGUUAACUUAUUCAAAUCACAAUUAACCCCCACCUAGUCACAAACCGACUUCUACGACGUCUUCUCGCUUGAUAUUUACCGGCCAAUCCAACAAAACAGGAACCAAAAAACCUGUCAGCAAGUAUCGGCCCAAUAAAUAAGAUAAACCGUCACUGGGCAGCCCUGUUGUUCAAAGCUAAGAACGCACAUUUAUGCGGUGUCGGAGGUAAAAAUUGUAUUAAUGUGUUUACAGAACUCAGCGUGCUAUAAACCAACACGCCUACAACCAAAGCGUUUCGUGCGACCUGAAAACAAUAUAAUAGACACGUACGGAUGACGUUUGCGCGCUUGACCUAAGGCACCCUUUUGGGAACCUUCGAGCUGCCAUCGAAUGCCUACUGCAAAUUAUAAAUCGUUCCGCAUUGUACUACAGGGUGUGUUCCGAUGCGCGAAUUAAAUUACCACAGCAAAGGGAAACGUUUGUAAUAUAUGCAGAGGUCCACGUAUUGAUCUGGAUCAACGACCACUAGAAGAACCCGGUCACGCGUUCCAAUAGUCGACGGAGUAGAAGUUGCUGUUCAGGAUUGCUGCGGUCUAACUACGCGCGGCCGGAUUUUAGGCCAUUUUGCAAUGGGAACUGGCUCGGGUCGGCGUUAGUGUCAUUUGAAAGCCGAAAUUUGGCAGCAGAUGCGCUUUUACUUCUGCGAAAAUUCGAUUUCUUUACUUUAUUAGAUUUACGAUAAGAGCAUAAAUGGUACUUAAGCCCAGUAAUAAAUGUGCUAUGUUUUUGAUCAAAGUGUGUUAUCGGAAGAAAGAACCCAAAGAUGGCUCAAUCGCCUUCGCCCUAGAAAAUUCGACGUGAACAUUUCUAUUCUUACGGAAAAAAAUCAAUGAAAUUAUUAAUAGAACUGAAAUGGUCUUAUACACUUUAGGAAAUGCUUAAGAAAGAUACGACAAUGGACGAGGAUCUGUAUAUAGCGCAAUUAUACCGAAUAGACCUCACAGACAAGGCAAAGUUAUUUUUCACACAUCCUGUAUUUUUAUAUAUUCGCAUCGACGGAUUACCUUUUACAAUCACUAGAAAGUAGAGUUCGCAACAGUAGACUUCGCAAUGAAGAGCGCAUUACAGACUGACUGGGGGAGUUCUGCAAUAGGAAACUUGAAAUUCAUUAACGAGCA